UGGGACCCUAUAAUGCAAGUAGCCAUUUCCCAAGCCCCCUUUCUUUCAGUUCCGCUGGUCGCACACUGCGCUUCCUGGUUCGCCAACUCCCGUGAACGCCGCAGGAGCUGAGGACAACAGUGGUGGGGUGGUGACUCUGGCGGUGUCUCCUUGAUGUGUUGUCCUCCUCUGUGCACCCGUUGUGGUUCUGUAGUGUGUGUGAAUGAGUGGAAGUGUGCACACUUGUCUCAGGCUGGCUCUUUCCAGGAUAUCCGUCUCAGCAGCUACUCCUCCGCUGUGAGCACAUUGUGGCACACCUGGCACCUUAUAAAUACACUCUACUUGAAAGACGGAUUGUGUCGAUCAGCAAUGGAGCUGAUACCUGCAGACCCUUGAUGAUCAAUUGCACCUGAGACCACAUGUUACCGUGGUAACUUGAUCUCAUUAUGAAGGAUUGGCAAGGUUCCAGCAGAGAAAAUCCAAAGAAAGGUGGAGAGAAUGACCUGAGAAUGAGUGGAGCAAAGCAAGUGAAAGUAUGUGAGAGAGGCUGCAGUAUAUGUAGUCAAAAACAAUAUUAAAACCAAAGGAGACAUUCAGUUUCAUAAUGUAUAAAAGUAUUUGACUGUCCAAACCCACCAGCACGGCAUUUUAAUGCAUGAACUCUUCGAAUCUUCUCUCACCAUAAGGUU